rnacentral:lncRNA from 1 species
UUUUUUUUUUUUCUUUCCAGACAUCCUGACAUAAUCACGGGGCUCCUUUGAAAACUGCAUCGAGUAAUUUAGCACUUGGGGAGGGAGGAAUUAUAUCCGUUUGAAAAGAAACCUCACACACGCAGAACCUCCAAAACGAUCGAUAAAUUUCCCUCGACCUUCUUUACCGCCCGGGAAAUAUCCUCUAGCCUAAAAUCCCUUUCCGAAGCGGGGUCCCCCUGUUUUGGAGCUGAACGGAGGAGGCUACGCUUGCAGCGCGGAGCUCUCCACGGCCAAGUCCGAUUUUUUUCGGGAAAAGAGAGUGAUGUCGGCCGCAGCACCCUGGAGGUCCGAGCCCUGCUCGCUCUCUGUGCUCCGUACACCCUCACACAGAUCUGUGUGCAUGUUGUGUGUGUGUGCGGGGACACAUCCAGGCACAGGAACCGCAAGCAGAGCCUGGAGAACACAAGCUUUCCCUGGGUUUUGUCAGAUAUAAAACAGGCCGGGGACAGUGAGAACAAAAACCAAAAGGACUCGGAAUGGGAUUUCCCAGAAUUUUCCUCUUCUCCCUAAAUUUUUGUAGCAUUCUCGCACUCGUCGCCGUGGCCAUUUCUCGUGGGCGCCUCCAGCGCAGCCCCGGCCUCUGCUGGCCCAGCCACGGCCGCGGAGCUGAGCCCGGCCUGCCCCGGGAACACCUCCUGAAGCCUCUCUCUUGAACUUUUCCUACCCAAGGUCUCGACAGGCUGCUCUCGCUGUCCUCUUGGCGUCUACAUGGAGAAAAUCUGGCAGGGGCUCCCUUCCCAGCAAUCCCCGAUGUGCUCCAAGCGCACCGAGAGGCAGCCUCUCUCGGAGGGAGGGGUGCGCUGCGCUCGCAGUCAAAUUACAUGGCUGGCCUCAAAGGCACCAGCUCCGGAUUUCCAAAUUAAUACUCAUCUUUUAAAAGACGAGCCAAGAAGAAAUUUCGAGGAAGGUCUCAGAUGCGGGACCUUGGGGGAAAAGGCUCUUUUCGGAGUUUUAGAAAACUUCACCUCGGUGCAGUGCACAGAUGAGGGAAUACCUGGGCAGAAGUGCUGCCUUUCCCCGCGUCGCUUCACUGGCCGUUCCCCUGGGAUAGUGCGGGUCACUCAUCGCUUGUCCGGCUCUUCUCGCUGCAAGAACACCGCAAAGGUCAGGCCGCUGCGGGGAGUCACUGCUCGGCUCCCGCCUGCGCGCUGCGGGCGGACACCGGCCGUGCUGCUCGGCCAAGCUCUUCACAGCCGCCACAUCUCUCCGUCAGCAUCCAGACACAGCGCUCGGGGUCAGGGCCGGGCUGGAAUAGCCGUGGCCGGGACAGGAGUACAGCAGCCUGCCCGGGCAGGGCUUGGCCCCGAGCCGGAGCUGGCCGGGCACGGAGCGGGGCUGCGGCACGGAGCGAGCCCGGGGAGCUGCGGCGGCCCCGGGUCCUCGCUCCUCUCCUCUCUCAGGCAGUGAAGGCGGCAGGGGUAGCAGCCGGGAAUCGAAAGUGACCCUCUCUCCCGACUCCUGCCAGGUCUGCGCUGUUUGAUGCUGCGAUCCAACUUGAGCGAUAAUUUUCUCCAUAUGGGCAAGAGAGCGCGCACACGGCGGUUCUCUCCACAAAUCACCUACCUCCAAUUGCUUUUCACUUUCCACAAACAGUUACAGGGGGAAUAAAUAAAUAAAUAAAUAAAUAAAUAAAUAAAAA